UACGGAGGGUGCAAGCGUUAAUCGGAAUUACUGGGCGUAAAGCGUGCGUAGGUGGUUCGUUAAGUCUGUCGUGAAAUCCCCGGGCUCAACCUGGGAAUGGCGAUGGAUACUGGCGAGCUAGAGUGUGUCAGAGGAUGGUGGAAUUCCCGGUGUAGCGGUGAAAUGCGUAGAGAUCGGGAGGAACAUCAGUGGCGAAGGCGGCCAUCUGGGACAACACUGACGCUGAAGCACGAAAGCGUGGGGAGCAAACAGG
rnacentral:rRNA from 1 species